GAUGAUCUUUGCGCGUGAAGUCACGAUACCUUCACGUCUCUUUGCCCUUUCUGCUUGUUUUAGUCAAGUGGAAAAAAACUUCAGAAACUAAACUAAAAUGUUGUGUACUAAACUGAUUCGGAAAUAAUCCACAUGUUUUUAGACUGUAAAGAAGGAAGUAGCUAUGAUGUCUUUCUUUGGCGGGACAACGGAAUCCAGUGAUCUCCAGUUCUCAGAUAGUCUUGGCUGCUGGCCCUGCUGCUGCUGCUUACCAACAGAGUCUGGACAGCAGGGGAGGCUAGAGUCUUCCUCCAGGGGGCAGGGACGCUUCCAGCUGGGUGGUUGAAGUAUGGAGCUUGCCUUGGGGUAUGCCUCUUGUACUUUCUUCAAGGGAAAAUUCCCCAUUUGUCCGUUUCCCAUCGGCUGGCUUGUGACUUAAAAAGACACGCUUUAGUACACUUUGGAGGUUCCAGGCAGCAGUGGACAGCAUGGAGACAAGGAGCGAGUGGAGUCCCCACAGAAAAGAAACUACUAUACCCAGUUUUUUCUUUCAUCAGAGCUGACGUUGAAAUCCCCACAGUCAUCCUGAAAAGUAAAUAAUAGCUGUGCACAUCACAUCACCUCAGCUUUGUGUUUGCCAUUGUCCCUGUAUUUUCUGUAACACUUGCUACUUGCUAGCUGACAUGUAUUUACAGGAACCCUAAUACAAUGCUACUAAAGG